rnacentral:rRNA from 1 species
GUAAGGAAUAUUGGUCAAUGGACGAAAGUCUGAACCAGCCAUGCCGCGUGAAGGAUGAAGGCCCUCUGGGUUGUAAACUUCUUUUAUCUGGGACGAAAAAAGGGUAUUCUUACUCACUUGACGGUACCAGAGGAAUAAGCACCGACUAACUCCGUGCCAGCAGCCGCGGUAAUACGGAGGGUGCAAGCGUUAUCCGGAUUCACUGGGUUUAAAGGGUGCGUAGGUGGGUAUUUAAGUCAGUGGUGAAAUCUCCGAGCUUAACUCGGAAACUGCCAUUGAUACUAUUUACCUUGAAUGCCCUGGAGGUAAGCGGAAUAUGUCAUGUAGCGGUGAAAUGCUUAGAUAUGACAUAGAACACCAAUUGCGAAGGCAGCUUACUACGGGGUGAUUGACACUGAGGCACGAAAGCGUGGGGAGCAAACAGGAUUAGAUACCCUAGUAGUCC